UGGGGAAUAUUGCACAAUGGGCGAAAGCCUGAUGCAGCGACGCCGCGUGAGGGAUGACGGCCUUCGGGUUGUAAACCUCUUUCAGUAGGGACGAAGCGCAAGUGACGGUACCUGCAGAAGAAGCACCGGCUAACUACGUGCCAGCAGCCGCGGUAAUACGUAGGGUGCGAGCGUUGUCCGGAAUUACUGGGCGUAAAGAGCUCGUAGGCGGUUUGUCACGUCGUCUGUGAAAUCCUAGGGCUUAACCCUGGACGUGCAGGCGAUACGGGCUGACUUGAGUACUACAGGGGAGACUGGAAUUUCUGGUGUAGCGGUGGAAUGCACAGAUAUCAGGAAGAACACCGAUGGAGAAGGCAGGUCUCUGGGUAGUAACUGACGCUGAGGAGCGAAAGCAUGGGUAGCGAACAGG
rnacentral:rRNA from 1 species